UUAGGGCAAAUGAAGAAACUGAUAUUAAAUGAGUAAUUUGCAUCUGAAUAUUCCUUUGAUGCUAACACCUUGGAGAUUUGAUGCCCUUC
rnacentral:snoRNA from 1 species